rnacentral:rRNA from 1 species
UACGGUUGCAAAGCUGAAACUUAAAGGAAUUGACGGAAGGGCACCACCAGGAGUGGAGCCUGUGGCUUAAUUUGACUCAACACGGGAAACCUCACCCGGUCCGGACACUGGAAGGAUUGACAGACUAAAGCUCUUUCUUGAUUCAGUGGGUGGUGGUGCAUGGCCGUUCUUAGUUGGUGGAGUGAUUUGUCUGGUUAAUUCCGAUAACGAACGAGACUCUCGCCUGCUAAAUAGUUUUCCAUACGUUACUUUAUGGAACCUAAAACUUCUUAGAGGUACAAGUGGCGUUUAGCCACACGAAACAGAGCAAUAACAGGUCUGUGAUGCCCUUAGAUGUCCGGGGCCGCACAUGUGCUACAAUGAAUGCAUCAACGUGUAUCAGCCUCGCCCGAAAGGGUUGGGGAAUCCGCUGAACGGCAUUCUCAGUAGGGAUUGGGGAUUGCAAUUAUUUCCCAUGAACACGGAAUUCCCAGUAGGCGCCAGUCAUCAGCUGGCGUCGAUUGAGUCCCUGCCCUUUGUACACACCGCCCGUCGCUACUACCGAUCGCUCUUGUUAAUGAGCUUGUCGGAUUGGACCCGGUGAGCAGUCGUUGCGCUUCAUCUCCUCGCGGGGUGGGCCUUCGUCUGCGAGCUUUUGGUGUAUGCCGAGAAGAUCGGCAAAUUAUCUGGAGUAGAGGAAGUAAAAGUCGUAACAAGGUAUCCGUAGGUGAACCUGCGGAUGNNNNNNNNNNUAAAUAAAUAAAAGGCUCCGGGAAGGGAAACCCGGGUUAACAAAAACUCCCGUAAGAUAGAYAAGAUACGUACUACUCUGUGCGGUGGAUCACUCGGCUCGUGUGUCGAUGAAGAGCGCAGCUAGCUGCGAGAAGUAAUGUGAAUUGCAGAACCACAUUGAAACAUCGACAUCUUGAACGCACAUGGCGGCCUCCGGGUUACUCCGGAGGCCACGUCUGUCUGAGAGUCGGAAUUGUAGUGCUUUAAAAAUCGGCGGUCACCACCAAUAUAUGUCGUAUACAAUAGAUACGAUAGGUGGAUGUCCGCGAGGGUUGCUUCUCGGUAGAAAGAUACAUACAAAAAGUAAAAGAGAAGCCGCCGAGUGGCGAGUUGUUGAAAGUAGCCC